UUUAAUUGCAGUUGUGGAUUUGUUGUACAACAUUUGACCGUUUGUCUUAUUUAAUUUUUUUAUGAUAGUAUUUUAUUGUUAUUAGAUGAUAAAACAUAAAUAGUAUUUUAUGCAUAACUUAUUUUUUUUAUUUUUUUAUAUUUUUUAAAUAAGACAAGAUGGUUAAACGUUGAAUAGAGAAACUUACGACUGUACUUAAA
rfam:Oryza sativa (indica cultivar-group) chromosome 8, whole genome shotgun sequence.